rnacentral:rRNA from 1 species
CCUACGGGAGGCAGCAGUGGGGAAUAUUGGACAAUGGGCGCAAGCCUGAUCCAGCCAUGCCGCGUGUGUGAAGAAGGCCUUAUGGUUGUAAAGCACCUUAAGCGAGGAGGAGGCUACUUUAGUUAAUACCUAGAGAUAGUGGACGUUACUCGCAGAAUAAGCACCGGCUAACUCUGUGCCAGCAGCCGCGGUAAUA